rnacentral:lncRNA from 1 species
UGUAAAAUGUCUUUAGUAUGUUGCAAGUCCUUUUAUAGAUGCGUACCUCCGAUCACACAGCAUCUGCCCGUGUCUGCUUUAGUUUGGCUGGAAAACGGGACAAACUGACCAAAAUCUCAAAAUCGCUCAUGUUAUUGCUCCAAGCUGAUUCCAGAACCGCAUUAAAACCAGCUUUCUCUUGCUAAAGUCUUCAAAUGACCGUUUUGGUUUGGUACUUUUUGUCUUCAAACAUCCGAUGAUUGAUUAUUUUUCACGUUAAAGGUGUUGUUUUCAGGCAUAAAAAGAUAUGAUAUUGCGGCAAGUUCUAAAAGAUAAAUGCUAUCGCAACAAGUUGAAACUGUUGUGUGCAAUGACGGUGGCUUGAAAGGUUUGAGCUAGAUUUUCAGGUUAAAACAAAGGCUUUAAAGCAUGAUAAAUAUGUUUAUGUGUUGAUAUAGAGCGGUAUAUUCGCGAGGCUAUUAUUUUUUAUAUACGCGAUUUUCACUUAAGCACACAUUCAAGACACAAGCGUAAUAAUUAUUUCUUGCUUAACGCACAGCUAAAUAUUCAAAUUUUAAAAAUCUCGAAAAGAUUACCUACGCAAAAUCAACGCAGUUUAUAGCUUUAGUAUUCAAUUUUCAAAUUAGCUCUUUUUCUCAAUCAUAAUAAAUAAGAUGGCUAACGGUGUUUUUUAUUUGCAGAUUCAAACGCAGAAUGGCUGAUGAAGGUAGGACAAACGUGUGCAGCCAGAGUGGCAGAGGCGAAAUUUGCAUACGCUCGAGAAAAGUCACACAGAAACGUUUCCCUAGGGGUUUCAGCUCUCGAUAGGCAUUGAUGAAGAGAGCAUAAGUUCACACUUAAACGUUCACGACAGGAGAGGGAACAAUCCUCGCAUUUUCAGUUCUGACAUUUCCGGCUAUCUGGUGAUGGCCCGUUACGAACUCACCGAGCACAUGCGCAGUCAUGAAGACAACCGGAGUCUGCCUGCAUACAGUGUGGUGCAUUGAAUAAGCACAGGCCAUUCCUGAAUCGGGAUAUAAGGCAACGUCGCAGGAAUGUUUGUGUAAUUUAAACCAGUGAAUACUUUGAAAAAUUGAUGAAGACAUGUUGAUCUUAAUUUUUUGUGGUACAUUCUGGUCAUUGUG